UACGACCGAGUUGAUUUAAAGGCUUCCACGAUCUGAACCCAGAAAAAAAAACCUCUGGCCAGGGUCUGCAGAGGAGGAAAUAAAAACAGACCACGGAGGAGGAGGGGGAAAAAAAAGACAAACCGCUUCGGCGAGAAGAAAAAUCUUGAUUCGGCAAAAGCAAAGCGGCGGUUGCGUUAUUCCCUCUGUGCGUGAAUGGCAGAGCGUCUUACACGGCUCCCUCCCCGCUCAGCAUCCUCCACCUCCUCCUCAUCUUCAUCAUCGUCAUCAUCAUCAUCAUCACUCCCAACACGUGCACAGUAACAAUCGCCUCGCUGAUUCCUCGCCAGUUCGCGAUUCGCGAUUCAGUCGCAGCCGCCGCCGUCGUCGUCCCGUGUCUCCCACCGCCACGGCACCAACAGCUGCAUCACAGAGGAGCCGGCGCCGUCACAUCGCCGCCGCGGUCCCGGUGCGCCUCCGCUCGCCCGCUCGCUCGCAUCCCUUUCCUUCCCCUCUCCUCCAGUCAAGCCUUCGCACAACAAUGCAGGGAUUCUGUCCUGUCUCUUGUUUUUUUCCUGUCCGUCUUCCCUGGAAGUCUCUCUCCUGCAUCUUGCUGCACUCUGCCUAGACAUCUUCACCUUACUGCACACCUUCCUGUAUGAAGACAUCUCACUCCAUGCAGACUGGCUUUUACUUUGGCCAAAGCUACGUGGUGUGCCAACCAACUCAUGGGGAGCUGGCCGGGAAUUCGAAUACACUCUGGGGUCCCAUUGACAGGUCUCUUUAGUUAUCGUUGGGCAAGCAGGACACAGACGGAGCAAGAGGCACUUGACCCGGAUGAUUCAAGUCAGUUUCAAGCCCACACCCAGAACCUGCUUCCAAGCAACUGGCACUAGUCCAGAGCAUGACAUCAUAGAA